rnacentral:rRNA from 1 species
UACGUAGGGUGCAAGCGUUGUCCGGAAUUAUUGGGCGUAAAGAGCUCGUAGGCGGUCUGUUGCGUCGGCUGUGAAAACCCGGGGCUCAACUCCGGGCCUGCAGCCGAUACGGGCAGACUAGAGUUCGGCAGGGGAGACUGGAAUUCCUGGUGUAGCGGUGAAAUGCGCAGAUAUCAGGAGGAACACCGGUGGCGAAGGCAGGUCUCUGGGCAUUAACUGACGCUGAGGAGCGAAAGCAUGGGGAGCAAACAGG